rnacentral:rRNA from 1 species
UACGUAGGGUGCGAGCGUUGUCCGGAAUUAUUGGGCGUAAAGGGCUCGUAGGCGGUUUGUCGCGUCGGGAGUGAAAACCUCGGGCUUAACUCGGGGCUUGCUUUCGAUACGGGCAGACUGGAGGUAUGCAGGGGAGAACGGAAUUCCUGGUGUAGCGGUGAAAUGCGCAGAUAUCAGGAGGAACACCAACGGCGAAGGCAGCUCGCUGGGACGGUACUGACACUGAGGCGCGAAAAGCGUGGGGGAGCGAACAGG